rnacentral:lncRNA from 1 species
CAGGAUCGGAGGUUCGACUUCGGCUUCCAGUUGAUUGUUCUCAUUCUCCUUGUCUCUCAUUCAGCUGCCAAGAUAAGGAGAAGCAAAUGGAGAAGAGAUGAUAUGAGAUACUUUUGCUUUUGAAGAAGUAACUUUCCACAAGCUUAUUCUUGAACUGUGCUGGAGGGUUUUCUGGUUCCCUUCAGAGUAUAAAGCCGACUCAAGAAUUUGAGGGUCAAAACAAGUCCAUCAAAUCUAGAGUACGUUCGACCUUGAUGAUAUGGGAUACUUUUGCUGUUGACGGAAUAGUGAAUGUGGUAUGGAAAUGUGUCGUGCUGUAGUGAUCUGUUUCAGCUCACCGUUGAACCUUCUGCUUCAAUCUUUUGCAUGGCAGAAGUGGUGUGCAACCUUUGCAUUUAAAUGGUCAUUCAGAACAUUCCUUCAUAGUGACUCAUCCACGCUUGGCAGCUUCAGUGUAAAGAGCCAAUAUCUGAUCAACUGUCAUGAGGUAUGUGCCGGUGGAAUUCAUGACCUUGACAGCAGUUGAGGAUGAGUUCUCAAGAGCAAUACUAAGUAAGCAACCAAGCAAAGGUCUCAGGCAGUCAGUUCCAGAUUGGAGGUUUGAUUUCAGGUUCCGACUGACUGCUCUCUUUCUCUUUGUCCUGCAGGUGUGGACAAGGACGAAGACAAGGACAGGGAGAAAGCAUGAUAUGGGAUACUCUUGCUUUCGACCCUGAUGAUAUGAGAUACUCUUGUUCUUGGUGUGGCUUAUUUGCUGAGGUAUUAUAUGGGGGAAAUAAAGCUGAGUAUUCGAGAGGUUAUGUUGAGGGUGCAUUCUCGAAUGCGAGAAAGGGUUGAGCAUUUUUGCAGGUUUGCCUGUCCGUUAAGGAUGGAGGUCGAUGUAUAUAGGGAUUUCCCAAUAACAAGUAGUAAUGUUAUUCCUUUACCCUUCUUGGUCACAGCAAUGUAGUGGGAGCUGCCAGCUUCACGUGUUUUAACUUUGUCAAAGCACUUUGAAAAAGUGGUAUGUGGUAUCUGGAAAGCUGAUGUUGCGUGUGAAGAUUACAGACAAGCUUUAUCUAAGGAAAUCUGGCUCUCGAAGUUCUGAGAGCUGUGCCUCUUCGGUUUUCGAACAAGCAAUCCCGUCGGGCAUCUGGCUCUCGAGAUUCGGAAAGCGGUACCGCUUCGGUUUUUGAGAAAGUAAUUAUGUUGGGAGUCUUUUCUCGAAUGUGAGUAAAGGUUGGACGUUCUUGCCAGCCUGUCUUGUCACAGAACACGGAGGUCGACACACAUAGGGACUUUCCAGUUGUCAAGCAGUGGUGCUGUUCCUUUACCCUUGUGGGUAAUAGUAGGGUAGCUGGAACUUCGAAAUUCUCGUGCCUAAACUUUGUCAGAGAUCUUUGGCAAAGUUAUAUGUGGUACCCAAGGAGUUGAUGGUGCGUGUGGAGAGUGGUGAUUGAACAGUAAGAUUCACGUGCUUUCUACUUCACCAGAAAUCUUCGACAGAUUGCCCGUAAUUUCCGCAAAGCUGAGUGUGCAUGUGACAGGUGUUGACGAGGCUGAAAAAUCAGGUGCUUCUUCCAUUUCUGAGAUCGGCCCUCGUGGUUUCUGAGCAGCCCAGCUUUUGAGAAAGCAAACGCCUUUUCAAUUUCUGAAGCUCCGUCGAGUGCAGAUUUUUAUAAAGGCUGGCAUUAAGUUCCACAGCACACUUGAAUCUCCACCAGUAGAAGCUUCAUUCUUGCACUUCUAAGAUCUUGAUUUGUCUGACCUAUUCUCUCUUCAACACCUUUGAAAAUGUCUGGCCCCUCCGACCGUCGUUUUGACUUGAACCUUGAAGAAGAGGCAGCCACGCCUUCUCCAGACAACAUAUGGCGCCCAUCCUUCAUAUCCUCUACUGGUCCUCUUACCGUUGGGGAUUCUGUGAUGAAGAAUGAUAUGAUCGCUGCGGUGGUGGCUAAGAACCUUCUCACUCUCAAAGAUAACAGACUACUUUCCAAACGGUCUGAUGAGUUGGCUGUUAAGGAUUUUCAGGCUCUUAAUGUUCAGUGUGCAGCUUCUGUGUCUAAUAUGGCCCAACGCUUAUUUGCUAGAACCCGCCAAGUUGAAUCAUUGGCGGCUGAAGUGAUAAGUCUCAAACAGGAGAUUAGAGGGCUCAAGCAUGAGAAUAAACAGUUGCACAGGCUCGCGCAUGACUAUGCUACAAACAUGAAGAGGAAACUUGACCAGAUGCAGAAAUCUGAUGGUCAGGCUUUACUUGAUCAUAAAAGGUUUGUGGGUUUGUUCCAAAUGCAUUUAUUGCCUUCGUCUUCUGGGGCUGUACCGCAUAAUGAAGCUCCAAAUGAUCAACCUCCAAUGCCUCCUCCUUCUGGGGUUCUGUCCAGUACUGAGGCUCCGGAUAACCACCCUCCGGUGCUUUCUCUUUCUGGGAUUCUACCGACUGCUGAGACUUCCCCUAAGCAACAUUUGUGAAGGCUCCAUUUUGUUUGUUUAUUUUGACUCAUGUAUAUGUACAUAUUUGUGGCUUAUCGGAAAUAUUAAUAAAUAAGCUUUGCUUCAUUUCAACGUAUUGUGUUAAAUACACCAAGGCCUUCUUCACUAAGUUCUUUGAAUUUUUCCUUUUGUUGAAGCUUAUAUGUUGAAACUUUGUGAGUGAAGCAUGUAGGUUGAGGUAGUGCUCCCUUAAUUUCCCGAGUGAGGAAAACUUCUCGUUUGGAGACUUGAAAAAUCCAAGUCACUAAGUGGUCGUGAGACUUCCGAGUAUCAAGGUGCAGUAGCAUAUGGUAGGAGUCCCCCAAGUCUCUGGUCGAGGGAGUUGACGAAUGAGGCAUUUCCUUUCUAAGUGGUAGCCCAAAACUCCUUCUUCAUAUAUAUUUGUUAUGAAAGUUGUUAGGCCCAAAGAAGAGGAGGCCUAGGCAUUUUUUUUUUUUUUUUUUUUUUUUUUUGAAUUUUGAAUUUUCAAAUUUCCGGAUUUUUGAAUUUUUGAAUUUCCGAAAAAAAAAAAUUUAAAAAAAAAAAAUAUAUAUAUAUAUAUAUAUAUAUAUAUAUAUAUAUAUAUAUUAAAGCUUUGUAGGUGAAGCUUUGGUGUUGAAGCUUUGUAGGUGAAGCUUUGUUGGACACCAUGAAUUGAUUUUGCUUCACACUAUCUUGAUGAAGAGUGUGUGAAGCUUUUAUAUGUUUUGGUGUUGAAAUUUUGUAUUGUAGGUGAAGCUUUGGGGUUGAAGCUUGAUAGGUGAAGCUUUGGUGUUGAAGUUUUAUAGGUGAAGCUUUGGUGUUGAAGCUUUAUAGGUGAAGCUUUUGGGUUGAAGCUUUAUAGGUGAAACUUUUGUUGGCACCAUAAAUUAAUUUUGCUUCACACUAUCUUGAUGAAGAUAGUGCGAAGCUUUUGAGAUUGAUAUUUGUCCUCCAUUGAUGAAGCUUUUGUUGGCACCAUAAAUUGAUUUUGCUUCACACUAUCUUGAUGAAGAUAGUGCGAAACUUUUGAGAUUGAUAUUUGUCCUCCAUUGAUGAAGCUUUGUUGAAUUUCCCAAUUUCCAAUUUCUUUUUUUUUUUCUUUUUUUUUUUUCUUUUUUUUUUUCUUUUUUUUUUUGGGAAAACUAGAAAUUUGAAAAUGUGGGAGAGACAACGUAUACAAAUUUUGCUUCCACACUGUUGAGCGAGAGAUUGUGAUGCAAGCCACAUCUUGUAGUAGUCGAAGGUUUGGAUGAACCAUAUAAAUUGAAUUUGCUUCGAACAUUCUUGAUCAAGAGUGUGUGAAACUUUCUAUGAGUUGUAGUGUUUGCAUUGUUACAUAGGAGAAAUGUCUGAAGCAGAUGCAAGAGAGCUGAAGAGCUUGAUCUUCGUAUACCAUGCAUUGAAGCCAUUGUUGGCUUGCAAUAAGACUUUGUUGGUGACUAUAGCUCUUGUUAGGCAUAAGUGCUCCCCUAGUUGAGUUGUAAAGCUUGAGGGUUUUUGAUUAUUUGUGAAUGCUAGGAGUUCACAUGUACAAGUUGUACCACUCGUCUUCUGGUUAGUGGAAUGAAUGGUGGGUUGCUUUCAUCACUUGGUUGGUGGUACGAAUAUGAAUUCCUUAAUCACCUUUCAUCACAUUUCAUCACCUGGUUGGUGACAUGAAUGAGAGUACGCGUUGUACAUUUCAUCACCUGGUUGGUGGCAUGAAGGAGAGUAUGCGUUGUACAUUUCAUCACCUGGUUGGUGGCAUGAAGAUGAGUUCCUUCUUCACCUGAUUGGUGAUAAGGGUGGCAAGUUUCCAAAUAAUAUUAGAGUACGGGUUGUACAUUUCAUCACCUAGUUGGUGGCACGAAGGUGAGUUCCUUCAUCACCUAGUUGGUGAGAAUAAGGGUAAGGUGUCGAGGUACAUUGUGGCAAAUGUCGAAUGACAUAAAGUGUGUUGAACCCUUUCGAAGCACAGUUGACUUAUGUAUGGAUGUGUUGGAAUGUAUGAUGUUUAUGUAUGAAUGUGUUGGAAUGUAUGAUGUUUAUGUAUGAAUGUAUUGGAAUGUAUGAUGUUUAUGUAUGAAUGUGUUGGAAUGUAUGAUGUAGCUCCUUUGUAUAGUCUUGUUGACACAUACUUAGAUUUUGUUUUGUAUUGGAAACAUUUACGUUAAAGCUUCAACACUUGAGUGUUUCAUUGCUCAGAAUGUAAAAGAGUUUAGGGCUGAGUUGGCUAAAUCACCUCUUUAUUGAAUUCAUACCAAAUGGUCUUUGUUACAGAGGAUGCCGAACGGCUGUAGCUUAACACUUGUAUAAUGUGAGUUUAUUUGUAAUAGUACUUCAAAUGGUCAGCAUUCCAUGGAUAGCCAAGAGUCUUACCGUCGGAGCUUCUGAGCUUGUAGGAGCCAGGGCGGCUGAUGCCGACAACCUCGAACGGUCCAUCCCAGUUAGGACUGAGUGUUCCUUCACUCGGGACUCUAUCACAGAGUAAUCUUUUCUUCAGUACCCAGUCUCCCACUUUGAAAGAGCAAGGUUUGACCCUUGAGUCGUAGUAGUUGGAGAUGCGCUGCUUGUAGGCGACAUUCCUCAGGUGAGCCUGAUUUCUGUGUUCCUCAACUAGAUCCAAGUUGAGGGUGAGUUGUUUGUCGUUUUCACUCUGUAUGUAGUUUUGGAUUCGGUAUGUUGCUUGCUCAAGCUCAACCGGGACAACUGCUUCUGUACCUAAAGUAAGUGAGAAUGGAGUUUCUCCUGUGGAAGCCCGAUAUGAAGUGCGGUAUGACCAAAGAACUUGGGGUACGAAUUCUGGCCAACAACCUUUAGCUUUGUCCAAGCUAGUUUUUAAAGUGCGCUUGAUUAUUUUGUUAAUGGCCUCGACUUGGCCAUUAGACUGGGGAUGGGCUGGAGAGGCAAAACAUAAGUUGAUGUUGAACUUAGAGCAGAACAUCCUGAAGUUCUUGUUGUCGAAUUGCCGCCUAUUGUUCGUGACUAUCGCAUUGGGAAUGCCGAAUCUGCAGAGGAUGUUCUUCCAUACGAAGUCUUCUAUUUUUGCCUCAGUAAUGGUUGCCAAGGGUUCUACUUCAGCCCACUUUGUGAAGUAGUCAACUGCAACGAUUGCAUAGCGUACCUUGCCCUUCCAUGCAGGCAUUGGGCCGAUCAAAUCAAGUCCCCAUUGGGCAAAGGGCCAAGGGCUGAUCAUAGGAGUGAGCGGCUCGGGAGGGGAGUGAGGGAUAGUUGCGUAGUGUUGAUCAUAGGAGUGAGCGGCUCGGGAGGGGAGUGAGGGAUAGUUGCGUAGUGUUGACACUUAUCGCAUGAGCGAGAUAUUCUAAUGGCAUCUUGGUGGAGUGUUGGCUAAUAGUAUCCUUGGCGAAAAGUCUUGUGUGCUAAGGAUCGAGACCCAGCAUGAUCUCCGCAGACUCUUUCAUGUAUUUCCCGAAGGACAAUUUCCGCCUCCGCAGGUGUAAGGCAUCUUAGGUAGGGCAGGGUAAAACCGCGCUUGUAGAGUUGGUCAUUAAUGAUCAGGUAGCGAGCAGACUUGUAUCGAAUCUGCUUAACUUGGACUUUGUCAUUUGGGAGGGUGCCAUGGGCAAGGAAUUUAUAAAUUGGGGUGAUCCAACUAUCUCCUUGUUGUAAAUUGCACACUUCCGCGACCAUGGUGCUUGGUGCUACCAACAAUUCGACAUGAAUUUUUCUCCCAAUCUUGUCUUCCACUGCCGAGGCGAGGCGUGCCAAAGUGUCUGCAUGACUGUUUGCCGCUCGAGGAACUUGGGUGAUCUGGUAGUGGAAGUGCUUGAGCAAAAGUCGUGUUUGCACAAGAUAUGCUGCCAUGGAGCUAUCCUUAGCAUCAAAGUUGUUUGUGACUUGGUUGACCAUUAAUUGGGAGUCACUGAAGAUAUCAAUUCGUUUAACCCCAAGAUGCUUGGCCAAACGUAAGCCUGCUAGAAGGGCUUCGUAUUUGGCCUCGUUGUUCGAUGCCUUGAAUUUGAAACGAAUAGCGUAUUCUAUCGCCACUUUGUCGGGGGUAGUGAGGACUAAUCCUGCUCCGCAGCCCUGUUGGUUGGAUGAACCAUCAACAUAUAGACUCCAUGUUGGGGUUGUUGGUUCUAUCUUCUGAGCUUCUGAUGGUAAUGAAGCUACUGCUUCAGGUGUAGAAGCAAUGUCAACAGGAUAUGUGAAGUCGGCGAUGAAAUCUGCUACUGCUUGACCUUUUUCGGCUGGUUUUGGUUGGUAGGAGAUGUCAAACUCACCCAAUGCUAUCGCCCAUUUGAUCAUUCGCCCAGACGUGUCAGGACUCUGGAGUAUCUGUCGAAGAGGGUGAUUAGUAAGCACAAUGAUGACGUGUGCUUGGAAAUAAGGGCGAAGUUUUCGAGCAGACAUGACCAAUGCUAGAGCUAAUUUCUCAAUGUUGGAGUAUCGUGUCUCCGCAUCUUGUAGGGCCUUGCUAGCAUAGUAGACGGGCCGUUCGACACCACUGUCCUUUCGAAUAAGAACAGAACUGACUGCUGUAGCCGAAACCGAUAAAUAGAUAAUGAGAGUGUCACCAACUUCUGGUUUGGAGAGUAGAGGGGCUUUACUCAUGUACUCUUUGAGGUUCCUGAAUGCCUUGGCAUAUUCCUCCGUCCAUGUAAUGUACUUCUUAUUUCCCUUGAGUGCUUUGAAGAAAGGAGCACAUCUGUCUGUGGCCUUAGAGAUGAAUCUGGUUAAGGCUGCCACCUUGCCAGUAAGGCUUUGGAUGUCUUUUGAAGUUACUGGCUCUUUCAUACCGAGGAUUGCUUUGAUCUUUUCGGGGUUAGCUUCAAUGCCUCGUUGGCUAAUCAUGAAGCCUAAGAAUUUGCCAGAGCCCACACCGAAGGCACAUUUGUUGGGGUUCAACCUCAUUCGAUACCUCUUUAGAAUGGUGAAAGUUUUAGAUAGGUUGGUUAUGUGUUGGUCAGCAUGUUUUCUCUUGACUAACAUAUCAUCAACGUAAACUUCCAUGCUCUUCCCAAUCUGUUCGGCGAAUAUUGAAUUGACCAGUCUCUGAUAAGUUGCUCCUGCAUUCUUUAGACCGAAGGGCAUGACUUUGUAGCAAUAUAGUCCCCUGUCAGUAGCGAAGGCUGUGUGUUCUUGGUCUGAGGGGUUCAUGAGGAUUUGGUUGUAUCCUGAAUAAGCAUCCAUGAAGCUCAAAAGCUCACACCCUGCUGUAGAGUUUAUAAGUCUAUCAAUGAGAGGAAGGGGGAAACUAUCCUUUGGGCAUCCUUUGUUUAGGUCGGUGUAGUCGACACACAUUCUCCACAAGACCUUUUGAAGCAGGAGACUUUCCUUGGUCGGAUUUUUCUUAACAAGGACAACAUUUGCUACCCAUGUUGGGUAAUUGACUUCACAGACGAAGCCUAUGUCCUUGAGUUUUUCAACUUCUGCUUUCAUCGCCUCGUAUGGUUCAACAUCAUAAGAUCUUCGCUUCUGUUUUACUGGUUUGGUCUUGGGAUCAAUACUCAAGUGGUGACAGAUGAUAUCGGGAGAGAUGCCCGGCAUAUCUUUAUAUGACCAAGCGAAGACCUCGGCGUUCUCUUGCAAAAAUGAGAUCAGCGACAACCGAAGGGGUGGUGACAAAGUGGUGCCAAUCUUCACCAUGCGAUCUGGAUGGUCUUUGGUAGGGGUGGGCACUUGGAACCGAAAACCGAAACCGAAACACGAAUCGAAUCAAACCGCACCAAACGGUUUGGUUUUGCGGUUUUGAAACGGUUUCGGUUUCAAAACCGAACCGCGGCACCCAAAACGGUUUGGUUUCGGUUUUGGGUUUUCAAAACCGCACCGAAACCGAAACCGCACUUUUUUAUUUUUAUUUAGUUCAUUAUUCAACUAGGUUAUACAGAAAACUUAUACAUUUGGUUUUGCGCCGCUAGAACUUCUGGGUUUGCACCGACGACACCGAGUGGGUUUGCGACUGCGUCUGCGCCUCCUUGCAUCUCCGCCUGCGAGCGACUGCUUCUGCAUCUGCUUCUGCCUGCAUCUACCUCUGCAAGUCACUGCUUUCAUCUAUGCCUUGCCUCCAAUCUUGGAGUCGACACACCCAGAGCAGAGGUAAAAAUUUCUCAUCAUCUGUCUUCAAUUUCAUAUAUGUUGUUGUUAGAUUAAUUCGAAUGUUAGGCAGGUUUGGGUUUGUUGUUAGAUGAAGUUAUGUGGUCACAAGUGACCUAGUACGGUUUUCAUUUUUGAUAUCUCUGUUGAGACUUGUAUUGCUUCAAAAUGUUUUUCUUUGCUGUCUUGCUAAAUUACGGUCCUUCACAGAGAUAAGGAUUGCUAGCCUUCAAGUUGUCUCCUCUAUCAGAGUUAGUAUAUGAGCCGUGUCUUGUUGACAGCCUUUGUAGGGUUGGAAAUGCUGAUAAUUUAGUGUUGUCAAAGGGGAAGCAAGCAUAAGGGAUUUGUUUGGGGCUUAAGUUUGAUUACUGCUGCCAACACCAAGAAGAAAAUUAAUAGAGAAUCUUAUUAUUUCCAACAUGGUCAUCAAUUGGCACUUGACAGCGUCUUAACCAAGAUGGUUAUUCAGAUCCAUCUUCUAAUCCAUUAUUGUUAGUUUUUGAACAACUGAUUUAGUGGUUGCAUUUGACUUGUAUUUGGCAGGUUGAGGACUAGAUGAUUUCUUGGCAUACGAUCUUAUGGUGCAAGGUUAGUAUUAAAUGAGAGGAAAAUUUACUUCUUGGCAUACGAUCUUAUUGUGGUUUGCUCUUUCUACAUGAUGAUGUCUGCAUUUAUAGGGAAAUUCAGACAUUUGCCUGUUGUGGAGAAUGGAGAGGUCAUUGCUUUACUUGAUAUAGCAAAGUGUUUAUAUGAUGCCAUUGCUCGAAUGGAAAGAGCAGCUGAAAAGGGAAAGGCUAUUGCUGCUGUUGUGGAAGGUGUUGAAAAACAUUGGGGCACAUCUGGUUCUGGUUAGUAGAGAGUUUAGUGUUUUCUUUAGACAAAGAAAAGGAAGAAGUGACUGAAAUUACACACACAAAAGAAGAUGGCACUGUAAGGGAGAAGCUAAGAUCGGAAUAAACUUUUUAUGAGUUUUUCAUACUGUCUUAUCAUCUGAUAAGUUCUCCCUACACGGUUUUGUUAUUGGUCGAGAUGCAGGAUUCAUAACGUAUCACUGAUAGAUAUGAACAUGCGAAAAAAAUGAUGUUUAUUUUAAAUGGCACCAUCGGUCUAUUUUCUCCUUAUAUAUCAUGACGGUUUCAUCUUUAAUGUAGGUGCUUGAGACUGCCAGUACAGAGCAAGAAACUGGAGAACAUGUGGUGUACGAAAUUCAUACUGUCGCAAAACCCCCUCAAGAUUCCAUUGAUAAAGAAACAAAUGAAGAGAACUCCGCGGAACAUCAGGUUUACCUGGACACAAACAUAAAGCCUACAAAAGUGAUGUCCUUUUUUCUUCGUCUCCAAGUACAUAACCUUUGUGUUUUUCUUUUCCUUCCAAUGUUAGGCAUGUACUGAGGUGGCUGAUUUGAGUACAACUGCAGAGGAAACGAACUUAGAGGAACAUGCCAUUCAGGAACUCUCUUCUCCGCUGGUAGUAGAAGAAGCAACUCUCUUCUCCUUUGUGUUUUUCUUUUCCUUCCAGUGUAAUUUUUGCUGCUGUUUUUUGUGCAGUUUUGUGCACAAAAACCGUUUGAAACCGAAACCGAAACCGUUUGAAACCGCACCGAACCGAACCAAACGGUUUGGUUUCAUUUCGGUUUUGGCUUCAAAACCGCACCGCACCGCACCGCAAAAAGUUUCGAUUUCGGUUGUGGUUUCACUCGAAACCGCACCAAACCGCACCGCGCCCACCCCUAGUCUUUGGAGAUAGAGACAUUCUCUAACUCUUCAGCGGGUUGUGCUUGCUGGGUGAAGGAGUCAUCUCGAGGGUCAUCGGGUUGACUGUUGCCAUUAUGAAGAUCCGAGUUGGCUUCAUCUGGACUGGUCUUUACUACUUGGUUAUGUAUAGAAAGGGUCUCCUUGGGGACAGGCAGGUGUUGUUGCUUAACUGAAGUGUUGUAACAUGAUCAAGCACUAAGUUACCUCCCCUGAUGUAUCCAUUGCCGAAAGGGGUUGGAAACUUCAUCAACAACAUAUGUGUGGAUACCAUGGCCUUGAGAUCAUUGAUGCCUGUGCGGCCAAAUAUGACAUUGUAUGCCGUCGGGCAAUUGACCACUAGGAAGUUAGUGGUAAUAGUAGCUGUGUAGGGGCAUGUACCAAUGGUAAGGGGUAAGUGUAUACUCCCUAAAGGUUGCACGAUAUCGCCAGAGAAGCUUAUCAGAGGAGAAAUCGAGCGAUCGAGCAAGUGUUCAGCUACAUUAAGUGCCUUGAAAGCUUCAGCAAACAUGAUAUUGACUGAAGCACAUGUGUCUAUCAGGAUUCGUUUCACAUCAAAAUUUUCUAUGUGAGCCUCCACGAUCAGCGGGUCGUUGUGAGGGUAGAUGAUACCUCUUUCUUCCUCAGGGUAGAAACAUAUUGGAUCCCAGUUAGGCUUUUGAUACUUGCCUCUCCUGAUGUCUUCCACGUGAAACACUUGAUGGCCAGGUCUCAAAGUUCGUUCACUGUUUUUCAUGGCUCUAUUGGAAGAUUCAGACAUAGGUGUGCCGCCGCUUAUAGAAUAUAUCACAUUCACCUGGCGUUGGUUACGGUUACCCCUUGGAGGGUGAAGGAGGAACUGAUCAAUUUUUCCUUCACAUGCCAAAGCUUCAAUAUGAUCACAGAGGAUGACGCACUUCUCGCCAUCAUGGCCAUUAUACUCGUGGUAGCAGCAAAACAUGCCCGUGUUUUUCGUGGACUUGUAAUCUGGCUGUCUUGGCUUUGGCUUUGGUAUCAGAUGAGCUAUACUGGGGUAGAUGGCCGCGCAUGUAGCGUUCAAAGGUGUGUAUGUCUCAUACCUCGGGGUAGGGCAUGUCUUGACAUGUGAUUGGCCCACUGCAUUGACUGCAUGGGGACGAGCGUUAUUGUGACGAUAUCCUGAGUUAUCGCAAUAGUGCCUCUUAUUCUAUUUAUUAAAAUGAGAUUGGUGAGGAUGGAAAUCUUUCCUUUUGCCCUGGGAUUGAUACGUCUGCUGACUUGGCGAAGCAUUAAAUGAGGCAGGGGGGUGUGCUGCUACCGUUUGGAAGGUUGAGGUCUUCUCAUUCGGUUGGAUCUGGCCUCCACUCCCUACUUGCUGAUAAGGGGUGACUGUAGGGGGUUUCCCUUGAUAUGUCAUUGCCUCGGCGGAGGCAUGGUUGUAAGCUUGUGCCAUCACCUCAGAGUAAGUCUUCCAAGUGUUGGCAUUGAUCGUGUACUUAAAGAAACAGUCACGUAAGCCUGCCGUGAAGGCCUUGAGGGCGGUCUUGUCAUCUGCCUCAGCGCAACAAGAAUACUCAUGGCUGAAGCGGCCAGCAUACUUUCGUAAUGACUCAUCCGGCUUCUGGCGAAUAGUGUACAAGUCAUCUGCGGAAUGCAAGCGAUCGGUCUGGAAGAUAUGUUGAGAGACAAACAGCUUCCUCAACUCUUCAAAUGAGUCUACUGUCUCAGGUGGAAGACGGCAAUACCAGUUUAAAGCUCUGCCAGAGAGGGUAGAGGGGAAGAGAAGGCACCGUUCUUCGUCGGUGUGUCUCCAGUAUACCAUGGUGAACUCAAAUAGGUUAAGGUGUUCAAUCGUGUCUUCAUUUCCAGUAUAGAGUUGUAAGCCAAGCUUCUGCUUUGUCUUUGCUUGGAGGGGGUGUUGAGGAUCCUUCUUGUGAGGGGGCCAGGCCUAGGUUGGUUCCAAUCAGGUAUCUCGACUUGAUGUUCAGCCUUCAACUUGUUUACUUCUUCCAGGAGCUGUAGGACAAGGGGGUCCUGAGUGGAGUCGUGCACCACUGAAGUUUUCUUCCGUAAGUCCCCAUCGCCUCUUGUAAGUAGGAAAGUUUGAUCAAGAUAGCGUGAUUUUUCCUUGGACUCGCCACACUGACUCCUAGAGUGAGUAUGUCGGAAUAUUUCCGAGUCCCCUGUACCUUCAUGUUCUUCUGGGACUUGUUGCCCAUUCCCUAGAUUGGCCGCUGGCCUGGGUCGUGGAAGAGGACCGAGUCUUUCAGAAACUCUUGGGUCAUUGAUCUUCGAGCUUAUGUGGAUGAAAUUCUUUCGACGUUGCUUUAGGAAGUCUCGACAAUCGCGAUAGACGGCUUUUGAUCCUUCCACUCUCUCUGUGAAGAUGUGCUUUCCUCUACUUCUUCUGCUUCGGGUUGAAGCAGCUGGGUUGAGAGAAGUCUCAUGUUGAUUAUCACAUUGAUGUGUAGCUCGAUCCCUAUCAGGGAUGUCCGUGUUGGAUAUUGAUGACCCUCCGUGUUGGGGGGCAUUCAGAUGAUUGUUAACCUCAACAGGGGCGACGAGCUUGUGUGUUUGAGCAUGCCUAGCCUCGUGAAGCAUCUCGAAAAGUUUUUCAUAUUGUUCCUGGAUGACCUCAUUCUUCAUCGCUAUCUUGUUGUUCUGAACCUCUAACUCAUCGACUUUAGCUUGAAGAGUAACUCUAUUUCCUUCCUGCUUUCGUUGCUUCAUACUAGGUCCAAUUGGGGUGUCAUUCUGUGUGCUAUGGCUUCUUUUGCUCCCCAUGUCGGAGAGAGAUGCUUGACCAAAAGAAAGUGUACGAGCGGUGGAAACCAGCUUGACAAAGCUGAAGAGAGUGGGAAUAAGUGUCGUUUCCCACAGACGGCGCCAAAUGUUGAUGCACAAAAUCAGCGAGGACUUUGGUACAACAGAAAGUGUCAGGUUUGUGACCUUCGCUUGGUUGCUUCGAUCACUAGUGAAGAUAAGUAUGUAAAUGAAUAGGGAUAGGGAAGCAAACACAAGAUGUAUGUGGUUCACCCAGAUUGGCUACAUCCACGGAGUAGAGGAGUUCUCAUUGAUUGUGAAGGGUUUACACAAAUACAAAGGUUCAAGCUCUCAUUUUGUGAGUUCUAGUGAAUAGUUUAGUACAAAAUGACAUUAGAAAUUAUUGUGGGAGAAUGAUCCCUAUUUAUAGAAGAGAGUUUCUAGUUUUGUUCUAACAUUGACACGUAUCGUGUUGUGAUUGGCUUCUGAUGUUGACACGUGUCGCGCUGUGAUUGGCUUCUGAUGUCGACACGUGUCGCAUUGUGAUUGGCCUCCUGGUUGAAGGGAAGCUCUUCUGGGUCCUUAACGGUAUAACGUUGACCGGUGCUCAGUAGUUUCGGGAUUGGUCAAGUAUGGUACAAACAAAGCACAUUAUUGCUAGCCGAUUAUAAGGCUAAACUCAGUCCAUAUCCCUUAAUAUAGAUAAUAUCGGUUAUUUAAAAAAAAAAUAUUUUAAAAUUUAACUAGUAUAUACGAUGCGGGACUAUAUUUUAUUUCUUUUUAUAUUUUAGGGCUAAAUAUAAUCUAUUGAGGCUACAUGUUGCAUGACGUGGGCCAAACUUAAUUGACCAUUUUAGCCAGAUUUCCUUUUAGCUUUUGGUUGGAGAUUAAUUUUGUCAAUUUUAGAGUCUAAGUGUGGCCUGUAUCCCUUGGCCGAAGAAAAGCAAGAUGAAGACUUAACGCGCUAUUUGCAAAAAUGCUCUUUUAAGAUAUAUAUAUAUAUAUAUAUUUAUUUUUUUUAAAUCGAUAUUAUCUACACUAAAGAAUAGUGGGGUGAAUUUAGCCUCACUUUGGACUAGCAAUAAUAUUGUUCAAAUUCGCUUUAGUGAUAAUUGAAUUUAAAACAUCUCACUUAAAAAUGAAAAGAAAUAUUAUUAGACCGUAAUAUUAAGUGGUGCUCUUUAAGAUAUUAGAAUUAGAAUGACCUAAACAAACGUAUGUUUGGGGCCAUAUCAUCCAUUACAUAUCAUUCAUUCAUUAAUUAAAAGUGUUUAAUUUCACUUUUGCUUAAUUUUCUUCACGUUUUAUUCAUCAUUGUCUCAUCAGUUCCAGCAUUUGGUUUCAUCAUUUUUCCUUGAUCUUGACUUCUAAAAUCUUUAGGUUAUGCCUUGUCGUAUGAGCAUGUUCGUUGCCAUCGUACUUGUCGUCAUCAUCACCUUAUUUUUAUUUAUCAUCGUCUCUUCAUAUUUAUGUGAAUUGGAUAACAGCGAACCCUAAGUUUCUUCCUCCAAUCUUCGAUGCAAAGGUGUCUUUGGUUUCAUCAUUUUCCCUUGCUUUUAGACUUUAAGAUCUCAAGUUGUUUCUGCGAUCUCUUUUUUCUUUUGGUUCAAAGAAGAUGGUGAAUCACAAUUAUCCACUAUUUUCAAACUCAAAGAGCCUAGUUAGGAAUUUCACCAUAUCUAAGACCAUGAUAAGCAGAUUCACAGUUUAUAAAAUACCGAACUCAUGACCUCUAAAUGCUUUUAAGUUUAUUUGAAUAGGAUUUUUUUUUUAAAUUUUGUUUCAACAAUUAAAUCCCAUUAUUUAAAAAAAAAAUCAGUUGCUCUUUCUAGGACCAGAAAGACUCAUAAAAGCAUUUUCAAUCUCUCUUGAUCACCACAUCUUGUGAUUCACAAUGCGACGAGUCGAACCUAGGACGUGUUCUACGAAAUACUGACCUAAAAUUCGUCCCUAACUAUUAGCCAACCCGUGGUGGCUACAGUGAAAUCCCAUUUUGAAUAAAUAUUUUUUGUCUCUAUAAAUGCAUAUUCAAACAUAUAUUUGAUGUUGGCACACAAGAAGUUACACCAGCUAAUUUGAGCAACAAUAACUAGAUUGCUUAGUAGCCGUAACUUCAUGAUCAUCACCACCAAUAUGGAUGGUUUCCUUCGCACCACCGAGACUUUUACUCGCAACACUCGUUUCUUCCACUUUUGCUUCCAAACUUCUCUGCCUCGUAAUGUCAUGAAUCUUAGAAAUCAUAACCAAAAAUACUUGCUCCACGUUCACAUUCUCUAACGCAGACGUUUCCAUGAAGCACAACCCUUCUGCCUCUGCAAAACUUUUGCCUUCUUCCUCGUCGACCUCUCGAGACUGGCUCAAAUCCGACUUGUUUCCGACGAGGACAAUGACCAUGUCCAAAUUACCAAACUCGCGAAGCUCUCGCAACCAGUUUCUCACGUUUUCGAAGGAUUGUCUCCGGGAAAUGUCGUACACCAGAAUGGCGCCAAGCGCCCCACGGUAGUAUGAGCUCGUGAUUGCUCUAAAUCUGCAUUAAUAAACCAAAGUAUAAUUAACCACCACUACUCAUACGCAUAAGCAUAAAUAUAUUUUUCUAAAUUAGUACUUCCAACAAAAACAUUAACCAUCGCAAAAAUGUCUCUGUGUAGGAAAUAAUUCUGUUUAUAAGUGCUUUUAUAAAGAGGUCGCACUUGGUGCGAUGGCAAGUGCCUUCGCCCAUGAGCGGUAGGUCUCGGGUUCGAGACUUGGGAGCAGCCUGUCCAUAAAUGGGGGUAAGGCUAGCCGACAUUCACCUCUCCCAGACCCUGCGUAAAGCGGGAGCCUUGUGCACUGGGUACGACCUUUAUAAGUGCUUUUAUAAGAAGUGAUUUCAUUACAGACACGUCCAAAUGCUUCUUAAAAUGCAUCAUGAAGAAGCACCUAAUAGAUGCUUGUCCAAAAAAUACUCUUGUAGUCCAUAAACACUUACAAGUUUUUCAAUGUAGUCAAAUUGGCAUAUUUCUUUUACGAGCAAUAUUAGUGGAAGGCAAAUCGAAUCAAGGAUUUCAUGUGUAAAAGAUUAAUAUUCUUAAUCACUUGAACUACAAAUCCGUUACUACAAAAAAUAUUUUUAACCCUUAAAAAACAGUCUCAAAACAAAUCUUGAAUUCCACUAAUUCACGGAGUGUGGAUCACACUCAUGAUGUCUUGUAUAAUCACUUUACUUUUUUCCUUUUCUGAACAAUAAUCACAUUACAUAUUAAAUAGUUGUUGUGCGAUGAUAGGAACUUUUCUCUACCACCUCAAGAAUCCAAGAUUAAGAAAGUUAACUGAAGAAGGUGAAAAGCAGAAAACUAGGGCAAAAAUCACUUCACCUUAAUUAGCGGCCACCUAAUGGUUAGUCACUUACGCUCACCAGUAGCAACAACGAUAAAGACAAAAGAAAUUCAGAAAAGCAAAUAAAAAGAACUCCAAACUUUGAGCUCUAUCCUAGUGCUACUUAAAAAAAAAAAAAAAACUAAUGAAAAAAAUUUAAAAACUUUGAGUUUUAAUGAUAAGGACAAAAUAAAAGGUAAAAUAAAUAGUAGCAAGUUUGACUUUUUAGUGUAAAAAUAUGAUUUUUCGUUAAAGUAAACAGUACCGUGGGCUUUUCGUUAGAACUUCCUUAAAAAAAAAUGCAAAAGUGAAAUACCGAGGAGAUUCUCUUAAAAGUAUAAUUUUUUAUAAUUAUUUUUUGGUUUUUUGCAUAUAUUUGAUAAUGUUGAUACAAAAGUUAAUGUUAAACUAGUAGGUGACAAAGAGUCUAUGAUGACUCUCACAAAGUCGGAUUCUUCAUAAGAGAAACGCCAAGAAAGCUCUCUCAAAGUGAGAUUGUCCAUAACCUUAUGUUUUUUACACAAUGUUUUAUAAUGGCACAUAAAUUAUGUAAAAAACAUGAGGUGGUGACAAGUCCAUAGAGAGUCUCACUUUUGAAAAAAUCUACUUAAUAUUUCUUCGUAGACUUUCUCCUUUAACGUCAAUUUCCGCGAACAUUAUAAAACAUUUUAUCAAAACCAUGAGACGGUAUAAAAGUCUAUUUGGAGAGUUUCUUUUUAACAUUUAUCAAUAUAAAUUUUAGGUUAAAGGGCCCCACCAGCGUGGAUUAUUAAACUAGGGGUAUAAUUACAACUUUUGACGUUAAUGGGACCAAAUCAUGAAGGGAAAGGCAGGGUUGAACAGUUGUGUUCAUAUCCAUAAUUUAGUUGCUUCAAAAGAUCGGCAAACGUAAAAGCAUCCUUAAACCAAAAGGAAAAAAAAUAAGAGAAAAGCUAGGGCAAUUUUGGGAAAACUGAUCGCAUUGAAAAAUAACAUUCAACUUGCAUAAAUAUUCUACGUAAUCAGCGCAAAGGAUGUCGUUUGAUCUAUAACACAAGAAAAAUAAAGCAUGGUAGUGGACAAAGGGGAAAAUGACUAACGUAUGCAUUCAGAAUGACACAUACGUUCCAAACCAAUAAUACAACACGGGCUUGUUUUGCAGUAUUUUCAAAAUGGCUGAAGAAAAUUCUUAAUUAAAAUGCAAGUAAAUUAUGGAAAAAAAACACUUGAAGUGUUUUUGUAACUCAAAAUAUAUUCUCUAUAAAAGUUCUUUCAAUUAUCUUAGAAGUACUUUCAAACGAACCGUAGGAUCGCCCAGUAAGAGGAGGUGGGUUUUCUAGUUAUCCAGUUAUAAGUAUAUGCAUGUUCUUCAAAUAUAUUCCAAAGACUAUGAUCAAGUGAAACAAAAUCAAAUUUAAGAAGAUGAAGUGAGGGAGGGAGGCGUACCUUUCUUGGCCGGCAGUGUCCCAAAUUUGAGCCUUGACGAUCCUAUCGGCAACCUUGAUAUUCCGGUAAGCGAACUCGACGCCGAUGGUGGGCUUGGAAUCCAACCGGAAUUCGUCUUUGGAAAACCUGGAUAGCAAAUUCGAUUUGCCAACUCCGGAGUCUCCGAUCAAAACUGCCUUAAACAAGUAAUCACACUCUUCAUCAAUCGAAUCACCCAUCAACAUGUAUGGUAAUUACUUGAUGAUCCAAUUAAUUACAACUCUUAAAACACUAAUUAAUCAUAAACAUAAAGACAAGCUAAGAAAACUUGAAGCAAUUUGGGAAGAGGCAGAGCAAAUGAAAGGUGGAGGAAGAGACCAAUAUGUUGGACAUAUAUAUAUAUAUAAUGUGUGUGAACAAGUCCAAAUCAGUAGAGCAUGAGGAAAUGAAUUGAAAUUGUUCAUUUGCUUUUGGAGGGUAGUGAGUCCUUUACAUGUGAUAACAUUGAAAAAGACAUGAUGACUGCUCCCUUUAGCACAAAUUAAGCAAACUUUAUUUAAGACCUACACUGAGGUGGAGGUCAGCCUCACAAUGAAUUAGCCAUAAAAAUUUAUUUCGUAUUCGCAUUUGGUAAGGUGAGAAUCGAACCUAAAACGUCUCACUUAUAAACUAAUCAAACGUAAUCUCGAAUUCACCUCAAUUCUUUUCUUUUGCACAAAUGAAUUUAGUCCUCACGACAACUUAUAAUUGAUAAUGUUAGCGAGAUACAAAAAUCUCAUUUACAUUGAAAUAAGUGUUUGACUAGUAUAAAAAUUUUGUGUUUUUAGUGAAGAGUAGUUUGUUGUCACUCCCGAUUUAUUGAAAGUGCCUUGUAAAUUUAAAAUUUGGACAGUAAAUAGAAUAAACCGAACUCAUCCAGCGAUAAACAAAGGACGGUGAGCAUGACCACUGUUUAAAGUGGUGAGCUAAUAUAACUCCAAAUUUGAAUGCUGAGAGCAUCAUGUGACAGUCUUUUUGUGUGACAUGACACGUGAUUAGAUUUGGAUAUAAUUGGUACUGGACUUCAUAUUUCCCGUGAAACAACAGUGUCCAGCCACAUUGACCAGGCCUGUCCUUACCGCAGAAACAGAUUGGGCCUUAUGAUGAAGCCCAUUCAGUUUUUGGGCUUCAAAACUUAUCUGAAUUGUUUACUUUUCUCAUCCGCAACUACCCAAAACAAAUUAUUCGGACGUACGAACCAACAUAUUUUUUUUUUUCAAAACCUCACCUACAUGUAAUCCUAACACAUCUCUAAUUAAAAAAAACUUCCCACACUUUAUAUGUGUGCUCAUAUGCUAAUUAUAUUAGAGAGUAUCAACGAGUGCGUCAGCUACUAAAUAAUCGGUUAACAGAUGAGUGAGGUUUGCGUUUGAAAUAGCAUCAGCGGUUACUUAUUUAAUUAAAUCAAAGGAAAACUAACCAAAAGGGCUUGAAAAGUUUAACUUUUAACCAAAAACCACAUUGAAAGUUUAUUUAAUGGUUAGUACAAAGCCCAUUAUUAUAUCAGCCCAAAUACAAUAGUCCAGACUAAAUAAUAUUGUGGUUUGUCAAUUUUACCCCUAACGGAUGUGGUUAACCUAAUUUACCUAUUCUGUUAGAUUACUCGGUUUGGGGUUAACCUAAUUUACCUAUUCUGUUAGAUUACUCAGUGGGAUUUUCAAUUUUUUAUGAAUCUGGUUGAGUGGUUUGAGUAAUGCUUGCCGACGAAUGUUGAGAGCGCAUUUUGAAAUCGUGAUCGCCGUUGUUCUAUUUUUCCGGAAUAAACAUUUGUUUCAGAACAAAUUCGCAGUAGUUUCAUAUUUUGAGAUUCUACUGAAUCGUUGUCAUCGGUGUUGUUCGUUGUGCUUGAAUAUUUUAACUGGAGUGAUCGUCUUUCAUAUUUGGUUAGAUUUUCGUUUGGAGGUAAUCGACAUUGUUUUUGCAGUUUUGUAUUCGAUUUUGAAUUCGAUUUUUUGUUUAAUUCGAAUUCGAUUUUGAAUUCGUUUUUGUAUGUAAUAUGCUUCGCUUUUAUUUGACUUUAUAUAUUGUUGUUGAUUUGUUUUCAGAUUAGCAGAUUGAUUCGGUUUGUGAACUUUUCAGUUAGGAGUUUCGAAGAAUCUCAGGUAAGUUUUGAUUUGUUUUUUUUUUUUUUUUUUUUUUGAAUUGGAAUUCGAUUUUGAAUUCUUUUUUGCAUGAAUUAUGCUUAGCUUUUUAUUUGACUUAUAUAUUGUUGUUGAUUUGUUUUCAGAUUAGUAGAUUGAUUCCGGUUUGUGAAAUUUUCAGUUAGGAGUUUCUUAUUUUGAAGAAUCUCAGGUAAGUUUUGAUUUUUUUUUUUUUUUUUGUUUUGUUUUGUUUAUAUUGUAUGUUGGUCAUCUUGAUUUUGUUUUCUUUUUCAGAAAUUUAUUAUGAAUUAAUUCGUGUUAUACACAUUUGAUGUUGUUAACAUUUUUUCAGAAAUAGUGUUCUUUUUUUAAUGAAACAGUGUAUAUUCAGUUUAUUUUCUGUUUUUUGUGAUUCUUGUGUUUAUAAACUAGUGUAAUUUUGUUCACUUUAUAUGUAUAUUGUUUAACUAAUAGGUGUUCAUCACAUUUUAUGUUUUUUAACAUUUUUCAGAAAUAGUGUUCUUUUUUUUACGAAACAGUGGAUAUUUCAGUUUACUUUUUUUUUUUUGUUUUGUUUUUGUUUUUUUUUUUUUUUUUUGUGAUUGUUGUGUUUUAUAAAUAGUGUUAUUUUUGUUCGUUUUAUAUGCAUAUUGUUUAAUUAUUAGGUACUGAUUUGUUUUACAAAGAUUUGAAUUUAGAUUUGCAACCGAUUAAUAAACAGUUGUUGUUUAUUAAUAAACAGUUAUGGAGAAUGGUAAACUAGCUCGGUUUACAUAUGGUGGUUUAUGCGUCGUUAGUUCUAUUUCAUCAUCUUCUACCUUCAAUCAGAUUUGCAUUGAUCUUUGUUCUAGGUUUAAGGGUUUGAGAGUUGGUUGUUUUGAGUUGCGAUAUGGUUUGAAUGAAAAUCCUAAUUGCGUGUUAGAUUGUGAUGCCGAUGUUCUAAACAUGUUGAUGGUUCUUGAUGUUGUUGGGAAAUCGAUUGUAGAAAUAUUGGUUAUAGACAAAUGUGAUGGUUCCAUAGUUCAGUUACCUUCGGAAAGCACAUCUUCUUCUUGCCGUACAUUAGACUCUAUGAUUGUUUCUAGUGAAAAUGAUCAUUUAGGAAAAUAUGGUUCUUACGGUGUGCACAAUUAUAUGUCAUGUGAAUGGGACAAUUACAUAGAAUCUGAGGGGCAAGUCUUUAGGGGAGGUUGUAAUGAUUUCCGAGAUAAGUUGAAGAAGUUUUCUGUUGAAUGUGGUUUUGAUUUGAAGUAUUUGAAGAAUGAUAAGAAUCGCAUUAGUGCGGAGUGUUCUAGGAAGGAAUCUGAUGGCUGUCUUUGGCAUGUGUAUGCAUCCAAGUGUGAUAUUAAUAACUUUUUUGUUAUUCGGAAGUUGCAUAAUCUGCAUACAUGCAAGGGUAUGAUUCGAAAGAAGAAAAACAAAGUUGUUGGCCGACAGUUUGUUGCUCUCUUAUCAAGGAUAAGGUUCAAUCAAAUCCUCUUAUUAAACCGAAGGAGAUCAUUUCAAAUUUAAAACAGUUUUAUGGAUUAGAUAUCGAUUAUUCUACUGCCUAUUUUGGCAAACAGAUGGCAGUUUUUGAGUUAAAUGGUGAUGAUGUUGAUGCUUACAAGUUCUUGCCUUGGUAUGUUGAAUCUGUUCGUUCAAGCAAUCCUAGAUCUGUUUUUGAGCUUGAAGUUGUACCGGAGAGCAAUAGAUUUCUUCGUUUGUUUAUUGCUUAUGAUGCAUGGAUAAAAGGUUUCAUGUUUUGUCGCCCGAUGUUAUUCAUUGAUGGUACUUUUAUCAAGAGCAAAUACAAGGGAACACUUCUGUCUUGCUGUGCAAAAAAUGGUAACGAUUGUGAGUUAAUAAUUUUAGACUUUUAUAUUGGAUAUUAUUUGUUUAUGUUUUCUUACUGUGCAAAAGAAACAUAUCCAGAACUAGUUGAAGAACAGUUUAAGAAAUAGUUCAAUCAGUCUCAUAAAUAGGUGAUACUCUGACUGUAUCUGUUUUUUUUUUUUUUUUUUUUUUUUGGUGCAUUGGUCUUUGAUUUUAUGUUCAAAUAAAGAAAAAAGGUUGCAGAAGUAGUUCAAACAAAGUAUACUAAAUAGUUCAAUUACAGUUUCAGAAGUAGUUGACAUUUGACAGUGCAUUUUCACUUUUGCUGUGCAGAGAUUUUUGAGGUUGCUUAUGCUAUUGUUGAUUCAGAAACGAUAGCAAAUUGGAGAUGGUUCUUGGCAAUAUUAUCUGGUAUAUUGAGGCCUCAAGGGAGGGUGAUCACAUUGAUGUCGGAUAGACAUGAUGGUAUUUUGAAGAGCAUUCGAGAAUUCUUUCCCGAGUGUCCACAUUCAUUUUGUAUUGUUCAUUUGAAACAGAAUGUGAGUACUUUAUUUCCAAAGGCUGCUGGUGAAGGACUAAAGAAGAAAAUGAUGAAUCUGUUGACAAAUUGUGCGUACGCAUGUACCCCAUCUGAUUUUGAUGAUUGCAUGGCUGAAUUCAAGGAUAAUGGGCAAGGGCAUGUGAAGAAUUUUUUGUGUGAUUUGCCAAAAGAGAACUAUGCUAUUGCCCAUUUUCCUGGUAAGAGAUGGGGAUCGAUGAGCAAUGCACUUUCAGAAUCUUUUAACGCCAUGGUGUCGAAUAGUCGUUGUAUGCCACUUAUGGAUCUUCUUGAAGACAUUAGAGUUCGGUUGAUGGGUAGUAUGGCUGAGAAAAGAAUAGUUGGUCAGAAUAUUCAUACGAUUUUGUGUCCAAAGAAAGAAAAUGAGAUGAAGUUGAUGUUGAAGGAGGGCAUGCAUUGGAGGAUUAGUCGUUCUGAUGCAGAUGUUUUUGAAGUUAGAACAGAGUGGAAUCGGUUUGUUGUUUGUCUGGAUGAUAGGACAUGUUCUUGUGUGCAAUGGCAGCAUAAUUGUUUCCCAUGUUCUCAUGCUUUGCAGGUGUUGCAACAUGAUAAUCGUGAUGUUUUUUAUUACGUUGAUGAUUACUGGAAAUCAAGCUUUUAUCGGAAAACAUAUCAAUUUGUCAUGCAUCCAUUUUCAGAUUUGGAAAAGCCGAAUGUUGAUACUAUCAUAAAUGGUGUGAGGCCUCCAAUUACAAAGAUUCCGUCUGGAAGACCAAAGAAAACUAGGAUCAAAUCUGCUGGGGAAAUCAGUGGGAGUAAGAAGACUGUCACUUGUAGUAGGUGUGGUUGUUCGGGACAUAACAAGGUUUCAUGUAAAGUUGUUAUACAAGAGGGGUGAUUUUUUUUCUUUUUUGUUUUGAGAGAUGGGAGUUUUUGGUAAUAUGUACCAGAUUUUCAUUUUGGAUAUUUUUUUUUAUUUUUUUUCAAUUGGUGUUUGGGAGUAUGUAAUUGUUGAUUUGGAAUUAUGUUCGAGUAAUAAAUAUGAAUUCAAUGUUUAGUAUUUCCAGUUUUACGAAACAGUAUGUUGAGUUUGAUAAAUAGUUGAGUUUGAUAAACAGUGAAUACAUAUCUAUGUUUAUGGCUUUGUGGUUUCAAUAUCUGUUUUGUAGGUUGUAUGUAAGUUUGUGUGUUGCAUUUUGUAGGAGGCAAGUAUGUUGGUUUUCAUUCUUGAUCUAGUUAAUAUUCCAUUUUAGGUAAGAGAAAAUGAAAAAAAAACCACACUACUUAUGAAAGUGAAGUAGAAAACCACACUUUGUUACCAAAGCAAACUGAACUAUAUAUCAAAAUGAAUUAUUUAUGAUAGUGAACUAGAAAACCACUUUUUUAUCAAAGCAAACUGAACUAUUUAUCAAACUGAACUAGAAACCCACACUUUUUAACUAAGCAAACUGAAAUAUUUAUCAAAAUAGAUUAAAAUUUAGAUUAAGUCAUGAAACAUAUAUAUAUAUAUAUAGAGAGAGAGAGAGAGUUGUGUCAAAUAUGUUUGACAAUGACAUUUGUAAAUCAUAGCAAAAGUAAGCUUGAACAUGUAAGUAUUGCUUCAGUUUAGACCAAUACUUUCCACCAUCUCUCAGAUUUUCAUCUUGAACCUUAAAAAGUACAUCCGAAUCAAAAUUACAUAUAAUGCGUAUUUUGUAUUUUUUAUUCUAAUGUCCAAUGCUUGUGAGUUGUUGUGAGAUUUCGAUAUAUGCUUCUUGUUCCCUUGUCCAGCUGAAAUCAUGGUUCAUCAAAUCCACGAGGAUAUGUUUCCUUGCUUUCAUUACUUGAUGAUCUUUGAUACAUCCUUGAACCUUCCGGUUAGUUGAUAGUUGGUCAAUGAAGCUCAUCAUGUAUAAACCACAAUCUAAUCUGAUUUACAAAGAAAUUCAUGGAAUGAUUAUGAGUAUUAUAAUGAAAUGAAAUGUGUGGUACAAACUAUUUCUAUAACUGUAUCAAAUUAUUCAUAUUGUUUCUGAAACUGCAGUAAGCACAAACUAUACAUAUAUAUAACUAAAAUGCUUUUAAUUUUAUAACGUACGAUGUUGGUUUCUGUUGUGCACAGGUUCUGUCUUCUUUGAUUUGGAAUUCAAAGUCACUUUUGAUGGAAUUAAUUUUCUUCGUUGUGGCUUGAGUUGAAUCCAUAUCAUUUGAAUUGCUUGUUGAUUUUCUUGCUUUAUCCAGCCAAUAUUGAACAAAGUGGCCCUGCAAAAAUUUAUAAUGUAAUAAUAAGAUGAUUGUUUUCUAUAAAUAUGACAGAGUUUUUGGUUGUGGGUUUUGCUUACCACAAUUUCUGCAUUUUCCCAGUAGCAAUCAAAGUCCAGAUCUUCAUCUGUUGUGCUUUGUCGAAGAGAAUUGUAGUGAAUCAUUUCUGCAUUUUUUGUGUCCAAAACUACCAAGGAGAAAUGGUUGUAAUGAAACAAUGGGAAGAAAAUCUUUGAUACUAUUCCAUAUUGGUCCAUCAAUUGGUUGUAGAGCCUUUCCUUAUUUUGCAGAGUUGUUUCAAUGCUUUGUUCAUUGAUGUUGUGCUGUUGAAAAUGAAAAUUAUCAAACAUCAUAAUUACAGAUUAAUUGUUCUAAUUUUUAUAUGUAUAUGUAAAUAAUUUUUUGCAGAAUAUUAGUUGUUUUGUUUGCUCACAAAGAUUGUUGUGGAGACAUAGAAGUUCUUUUGUUUCGUGAUGUUCUCUUUUUCUCUUUUCAUGUAGCAGAAAGAAUCAACAAUCUGAGUUGAUGUAGGUCCAUUUGCCAUCAAACUGUGCAGGUCUUCUUUCAACACCAUUAUUUUGUAAUAGUUGAAAUCUGUAGUUUCAGCCGUCCAAUAUUCAUCGCUGCAGGACAGUGUAAAAGUAUUAGUUAUACAAUAAUUCAUCAGUGCUUAUAAAGUUAUGGGAGUGUGUAAAAACUUCAGUUAAGAGUUUUGUUUUGUAUUACUUACCUGCUGUCUAUUGACCAGAAUUGAGUUAUUCUUCUUCUAUCAUCUGGUUUCAGCAUCUUGUACACUUGAAGUUGUGUCCAAUUCACACUGCUGUCUAUGUGAUUUGUUGCUGGAAGGUCAUCCGGUUGUGAAGAAGGCUCAUCUUUUAAAUCCAGGUUGAAUGAUGGAAUUUCACCCAAGAGUUUCUUUCUGUUUUUUGUCAUUGGCUUUGCUGCUUUUUGGCUGAAUGUUUGCUUUUUGACUUGUAGAUCAUUCUUGUUGAGAGUAUUGUUGUUUUUUAGAGCUUCAAUAUCUGUUUCUUCAAUUUGUUGCUUGUUUGAUUCUGAAACUGGUUUGGCAUUUUCCUUUUUCUUUUUCUUUGGAACUGGUUUGUCAUUUUCCUUUUUCUUUCUCUUGAUUGCUGUUGGUGGUUGGAGUGUUUGGCAUCUUUUCUUCUGCAUCCUUGAUUCACAAUUGUUCUGUUCUUUAGGUUGUGUCUCCCUCUUCCUCUGCCUUUGUAGUGGUUGUUUUUUUUGCACCUUUUUCUUUGCAAUUUGCAUUGGUUCUCCAACUUCUUCUUCAGUAGUGGUGUCAAUCUGUAGAUGAAUUGUCUCCUUCUUCGUACGUGAUCUGUUUGCUAUUUUUCCAAGCAUUUUCCUUUGUUCUGUCCUCUUUGUUGUUUUGGAUAUCAUUUUGACAUUGGCUUUGGUUGAGUUUGACAUUUGUACAGUUAUUCUAACUGAAACCAUCUGUCAAUAUAAUUUUUAUUAGAUUGCAACUUGAUCGUAAACAAAUAAAAAUCAGUAUGAGUACACAAUUAUAUUUGAAACAUACCAAGGUGAAUUACUAUUUAUGGAAUUGGAAAACAUUUUUAUAACUGCAUAAAUCUUUAUAAGAUUCAUAUAACUAAAUAAAUUAGAAAUAAAAAUAUACAAUAAGAGGUGUAUUAUGUGUAAGAUCUGGAAAAAUUGCAAUUCUAUUUAUAAAUGAAGCAAUUGUAAACUGUUUCGUAAACACUGUUUAUUAAACUUUAAAAAACACAAACUAUUUACUUGUUCGUGAAUGUAUCCCAGAUUUUACUAUUUCCGUACAUUUCAAUUCUAUUUACAAAUGAAGCAAAUUGUAAACUAUUUCGUAAACAGUGUUUAUUAAACUUAAAAAUCGUGAACUAUCUUACUCAAAUAUAAAAAUUACAAACAGAGAAUCAUACUAGUUCGUGUAAUAGCAUAAUGUAUGUUUAUAUAUUGAACGAUUAGCUAGUAAAUAGUAUUUUAUUGGGUGGAUCUGUGAUGGAUUCGUACUGAUAGUAAAUAACAAAAUAAAUUUAAGCAAAUAGUAUAAUCUGGGUUUUGUUUAAGUUGACGCAUGUUAUUCUAUAUGCUUAAUUCCAGUAGAUGUUUGUUAUAUAAACAAUGAACCGUAUGAUUUUGUGAAAUAUGUUGAGAAAAAUUGUAAGAUUGUUACCUUUUGUUUAUUUUCUGGGUAUUUCUGCGACCAAGUUGCUCAGCGAAGUUGAAAUUUGCGUGAAUUCGUCCGUAAAAGAACUUGAAUGAUGUACGAAAUCGGGAAAUGAGGAUUGAUGAUUUGAGCUGGGGGCUGGGGGCUGGGUUUCUGGUUUUCUUUUUUUAUAGUGCAUGCAGUUUCUUCAUCGUGGCUUAUCUGUGCGUGAAAAUGAGAGUGGUGUUAGGGAGAGAAAGUGAAGUUAGCGCAUGAGUGAAAUGAUGAUUUUUGCUGGGCGUUAAUUAUGCGUGAAGGAUGGGGUGCUGAUUUGGAACUGAAAAAAAAAAAAAGUUGUUAUUUUUCAUUUUUUAGAUAUAGUGUGUACAUAUAUUUCAGAAACAGUUUAAGUUAUCUAGUUUUUUGUUUUGCAUAAAUUUAUCUAAUUUGGUAACUAUAUUUUUUGGAUAAUAAAAGGGAACUUUAACAAAAAAGGAAGUGUCAAAAUGUAAGCAUGUGAAAUUUUUUAAUAUAGUUCUCAUUCUUAUAAGUUAUAACUCAAAGAAUCAGGUAUGUGAAGUUGAUUGGCUUCAUAGUAAACUUCUUUUUCAUUUUUAUAUGGUUUCUUUAGAUGAGUAAUGGUAUUAGGCCCCCUAGGGCAAAAAAAAUUAUAAAACGUACGCAAGUAUGGGAUGGGCACCAUCAUACAAGCCCACCUGAGCUCGGGGUUUUGUAUGUAGAUGUACAUUGAUAUAAAAUGUAAUUUGUAAAACUCAAGCUAAUGUAAUAAAAUCCUCAUCAGGAAUGUCAUCAUAUUGACCAUGUUUAUUUUGUUGUCUUCUGUCUUCAAGUAUCUUCUUCAGUCCAUUUGCAUAACUAUUCUUGUGAUUCACAAGUGCAGUUGCAAUUUGAGUUCUUUUGGCAAAUACUUCUUCCUUCUCAAAGGUGUUGGCUUCUAUUGGGUUUGCCCUCUUGCACUUGGGUUGCAAAUUGAAUGACAAAUAUGCCACAAUCCAAUCUGCAUUUUUUUUUUUGGAUAAACAAAUAAGUAUGACAGAUAAUGAGAUCAUAUUAUAACAUUCGAUGACAUAUUAAAAGUGAAAAAAUGAAACUAUUUCUUGUUCGUAACACUGUUAUGCAAACUGGAACUAUAUCUGAAAACUAUAUUAUGACACUAUUUUGCAAAGUCUAAAUUUAUAGUAUAUUUUCUAGAAUGAUUUUGUUUUCUGUUUUCUGUGUCUCAUUUCCAUAUAUUUGUAGUUAGAUGACAUAUUAUUACUGAAAAAAUGAACUAUUUGUUGAUUUGUAAUACUGUUUCGUAAAGUGUAAAGAGUGAAAAAUCAACUAUUUCUGAAACUUCUUAUGACAUUAUUUUGCAAACUGCAAACUAUUUUUUCAAGUAUAAGUCUUGUGUUUGUAUAUAUGAUUUUCAUGGUCCUUCUUAUGUGUUUGAAUGUAUAAAUUUGAUUGAAAAAUAUAGAGAUCAACUUGUUGUUUGUACUUACGAGUCCUCCUUUUGUUGGGCGCAAGUUAAGCAUCUUUCAAUAUCUAUUGUGAGAUUGCUGUCUCCUUUGAAAUCUUUGUAAAAUGCUUCUAUUUUGUCUCUCUGCCAAAAACAAAAAAAACAAAAAAAACAACAAAAAAAAAAUUGUAUUAUGAAGUUUGAUUUUUCCUAUCAGAAUAAGAAUAUAGUUUGUAAUUGAAUUAUAGUUUUGUUCUUACCACUUGAACAACAUGAUCAAAGUAUAGGUCUGUAUUCCCAUGUACCCUUGGUAGUUUGGAAUUGUAGUGUGUCAUUUUUCCAUUUUUAAUGUCCCAAACUACCAAGCUGAAGUGAAAGUAAUGCUUGACCAAUAUGAAGACCUUUCCUACUUUAUCCACAUUAUCUUGUAAGACUGUCUUCAAUGUUUUGUCAAUGUGCUCCUGAUCAGUCUUGUUUUUCUCAAUCUCCAUAUCAUUCUGAACCAAGAAUACACAUGUAUUUAUUAAUCUUAAUUAAUGAGCAACACUAAUUCUUAAACUGAACCGAAAAAUACACAUUUUUUUUUCAAUCUCCAUAUCAUUCUGAACCAAGAAUACACAUUUAAAGUUUUAAAGUGAAUGCAAGGCCUUUUGUAGGAGGCAAGUAUACAAAGCAAACUGAACUAAUAUGAAAGUGAACUAUUUAGCAAAGUGAACUAGAAAACCACACUUUGUUACCAAAGCAAACUGAACUACAUAUGAAAGUGAACUAUUUAGCAAAGUGAACUAGAAAACCACACUUUGUUACCAAAGCAAACUGAACUACAUAUGAAAGUGAACUAUUUAGCAAAGUGAACUAGAAAACCACACUUUGUUACCAAAGCAAACUGAACUACAUAUUAAAGUGAACUAUUAGCAAAGUGAACUAGAAAACCACACUUUUUUGUAAACAAAACUGUUUGGCACUUACAAAUAUGAAUGAAGGAAGAUACAGAUUUUUUUGUUGCCUCAUUUUUGAUUCGUUUUCUGCCAUUGUGUAGAACGAAGCAUCAAUUAUGUUGGCGUCGAUUGCUCCAUCCACAAACAAUGAUGUCAGAUCUGAUUUUAGGACAACAAGGUCAGUCGCCAUGGACCCUUGUCUUGGCUGCAUCCAGAAGUAGUCCCUGUAUCAGAAAAUAAAACGUAUUAUAUAUCUAUGUAUAUGUGUGUGUGUGUGUACACAUGUAUUAAGUUAUGAUUAAUAAUGUAAACUUACAUUUUCUCUUGUCUGUAAUAUUUCUUGAAUUUUUCUUUUGUCUCAUCUUCAAGUAACUUGUACGCCCUUGUUGAUGCAGGUAGAUGAUACCGUUUGUCAAGCUUUUGCUUUACAGGUUUCUUUGCAGCCUUCUUUGCAGGUUUGUUUGCUAUUUCUUUAGCAAUUGGAUUCAAGGGUGAUUCAACCUUGGGCUCCUCCUUUCCUUUCUCAAUUAUUGGUUCCAAUAGUUGGCUUUCUGACUGAAAAAUUGAAGGGCUUUCACUGUCACUCACAGCAUAUAUAUAUUUUGCCUUCUUUUGUUUUCUCUGGAUGGGGAUAUAAUCAUAAUGUGGAUCGACAUUUGGUUUACGAUCAUCCCUCAUUCGAAUAUUUUUUACUAAUGUUCUCGUCUUCUUUUUGGCAGUCUCUUUUCCUUGUUUUUCAGCAUCCUUGAUAGUUGGAGUCUGCAUUUGAACAUCUUGUUGAACUCCGGAGGUUCCUUUUUCAGUGGCAGUGUCUUUUCCUUCAUGUUCUUGAUCCUCCUCAGCUUGAUCCUCCUCAUUUUCAUCUGGAUCAUGAUCAAUUGCAUGCCUUUGUUUUGGAUCCUCCAUAGCCACAUCAUUUUCAGUUGCAUUCUCUUGAACUGGAUCCUCAGUAGCAAUAUCCUUAUCAUGUGUAUGCUCUUCAACUUGAUCAUCAUUAUCUGGAUGUUCUUUAGGUGGUUAAUCCUCCUCUGGAUCUUCCUUGGUUGAAGCAUUUAUAUCUGGUACUAUUGCUUGAUUUUCCAGUAGCUUCUUCUUCAAACUUCCAAUUUCAUCCAGAAGUUUAUUUACUUUCAUAGAAGCUGCUGUGUUAUUUAAUUGCAACUGUAUCAUUUCUGUGUUCAUUGAACUAAUCUUCUGCUUGUCCUCAAGUCGUUCUUGCAGAAGCUUUUCAAUGUUUCUGUUGAGGGCUCCAGUUGUUUGAUUCAUUACAAUUGAAUUUGUGUGUAGGUUAUCGAGUGCAUAUAUCAUCAUGUGACUGAGGACUAGAUACCUCUUUUGAUCCAUGCUCGCACAUCUUUUAAACUUUUCAAAAUCUUCCACACCUAAUGUGUUAUCAAUCCCGAUGAAGUCCUUUUGAUAACUUGCAUCAAAUUUCAUGAAUUCUUCUUGGUACAGUUGAUCAAACUGUGACUGAGCUUCAGUGAUGGUGAUGCUUUGAUCUUCUUCAGCUCCAACUUCAGUUCUCUUCUUUUUCCUUCCCGUUGUCUUCUUUUCCUUUUUCUUGGAAGACUCAUUAUUUUGUUGAGGAUAAUGAAUGACAUUACAUUCUUCUUGGUUGAUGUUGGAAUGCUCCUUUGUUGGUUCUUCAGAACAAGGAAUACCUCCACCAAUCUACACAGUGACACAUUAAAUAGUUGUUAAAUUACAUAAUAAUGUCAUUGUUUCGUAAACAUUGUUUAUUAAACUUUAAAAAACGCAAACUAUUUACUGAAUGUACAAAUUAUUAAAAGAGAAUCAUACUAGUUUGCAUAAUAGAGUAAUAUAUGUUACUAUUUAUUGAAAUACACUUUUCUUUUUGACACUAUUUCUGUUUUAUAUAAAUGACACUAUUGCUUGAUCUGUUUUAUAUAAAUGACACUUCUGAAACUUUAAACUGUAAAGACCACUAUGUUAUGAAACUGUAAAGUGCAAAAAUAUACUGUUUAUUGAAAUACUUUUAUUAUUUGUCCUUACCUCAAUUUCUUCAACUCGAAUGUCUCUGAUUGCUUUGUGGAUUUUCGUUAUGUCCCAUCUUCCAAUGGCAGGAAUCAUGUUUUCUCGCCCACUUAUUGUCUCCACCAGAUUGGUGUGAAGACAAAUCCAAUACUGCAUGAAAUAAGAACUUUGAAUUACUUUCUUGUGUAAUUUAUAAGACAUAAUUCAUGUUUUUUAAAUAUAGUUCUUAUUUCUUACCAAAAUAAGGGCAGUGCAUCCGCUUGUUGUUGCUGAUUCUUCUCCAUUUUUCCUCUUUUUCUUCGAUUUGUUAAUCCUCUUGAACAAGUAGUCCCUCACUCCUUUUGCCCAGUUGUAUUUGCUGAUUUGGUCCAAAGCUCCACAAAUUGUUAUGAAGCUCCACGCUAUGUAAGUUCCAGAUGUUGCAAAUAACAGUGAUUGUAGCAGAUGCACACAUAUAAUUGAAGCAGUAGCUUUUGCCCCUUCAGGAGUUUUGUCUUGGACUGAUUUUUGGUAUGCUUCAACAAUGUCCUUUUUUUUCACUAUUUUUUGCUUUGCAAAGUAUGCUUUGACAAAGCUGUCCUUCAUGUUCUUUGUGGAUUUGUCUGUAUUUGGUAGUUCAACCCCUUGGUUGUUCAAUCCAAAUAUUUCAACGACGUCUUCACUUGUUAUUGCUUUUGGCUCAUGAUCUCCGAAUUUGAACUGUUGUUGCUUGGAAUCAUAGCAUUGUAUGAUCUUGAUCAGAUCCAUAUCAGACUUCUUUUUUCUGUCCGUUGCAACAAUUUCAUCAUUCAUGUAGAACUUGAUUAGACUCCAAAAUGGUGUUUCGGCCAAAUGAUUGAUGACAUCUUGGCGUUGUUGAAGCAUUGGUUUGUACAAUUGCAUUGCAUUUGCAAACCCGAAAACGUUGCAUCUAUAUUGAACAUAAGAAGUUGCAGGUCUUUUAUUCUCUUUCUUACGUGGACUCUUUACAGCGAAAGUCUUUAUUCUUAGUUUCUUUGUUCCGUCCAUCUGUAAGAAUAAACAUAGUUUAAUUAUUACAACUAUUUUUUACCAAAGCAAACUGAACUAUUUAUUAAACUGAAGUAGAAAACCACACUUUUUUACCAAAACAAACUGAACUAUUUAUCAAAGUGACCUAGAAAACCACACUUUUUUUACCAAAGCAAACUGAACUAUUUAUCAAACUGAACUAUUUAUCAAACUAAACCAUUUAGCAAACUGAACUAUUUAUCAAACUAAACUAUUUAUCAAACUGAAGUAGAAAACAACACUUUUUAACCAAAACAAACUGAACUAUUUAUCAAAGUGAACUAAAAAACCACACUUUUUUUACUAAAAUAAACUGAACUAUUUAUCAAGGUACACUAGAAAACCACACUUUUUUACCAGAGCAAACUGAACUAUUUAGCAAACUGAACCAUUUAGCAAACUGAACUAUUUUAUCAAAAAAUGAAGUAGAAAACCACACCUUUUUACCAAAACAAACUGAACUAUUUAUCAAAGUGAACUAAAAAACCACACUUUUUUACCAAAGCAAACUGAACUUUUAUCAAACUAAACUAUUUAGCAAACUGAACUAUUUAUCAAACUGAACCAUUUAGCAAACUGAACUAUUUAUCAAACUGAACUAUAUAUCAAACUGAAUCACUUAGCAAACUGAACUAUUUAUUAAACUGAAGUAGAAAACCGCACUUCUUUACCAAAACAAACUGAACUAUUUAUCAAACUGAACUAGAAAACCACACUUUUUUACAAAACAAACUGAACUAUUUAUCAAACUGAACUAUUUAGCAAACUCAACUAUUUAUCAAACUGAACCAUUUAGCAAACUGAACUAUUUAUCAAACUGAAGUAGAAAACCACACUCGUUCGUGAAUGCAUCUCAGAUUUUACUAUUUCCUUACAUUUUAAUUCUAUUUACAAAUGAAGCAAAUUGUAAACUAUUUCGUAAACACUGUUUAUUGAACUUAAAAAUCGUGAACUGUUUUGUAAACACUAUAUAUUAAACUAAAACACCACCGGAAUAGAAUGUUGAUUAUAUUUAAGUUAUUUAAGCAAAGAAAACAACAUAUGAGGGCAAGAAAAUACUAUUUAAAGGUUAUAAGAAAACGAGCAGUUAUCAAAGUGAAGUAAAAAUAUACCAUUUUGCAGAAACAUUGCUAUUCGAAGCAUGCAAACUUACAUAUUACUGUAAAAUCACCAAAAAUAUCAGAAAUUUUGUGGUAUGUACCUCUGUUUCUUCUCUGUUGCUUUUAUUUCCCAAAUUUUUUGUGUGUUUUCGUCUGGAUGCAAAUCAGAACUGUGAACUGGAAACAUAAUUCAUUUUUUAGAAUCUCAAACAUGCAAAUGCACAUAUUUAGUAAAUUAAAGUAAGAAAUCAUCAAGAAUAUCAGAAAUUAUAGGUUCGUACCUGUGUUUGUCCGAUUUCGACUCUGCAAACAUACAGUUCGAAUGUUUUCAGUUUUUCGUCUUCAAAUGUAGUUUUUGGGUUGAGAAAUUCCGGAUUUGAUGUGUAGAUUAUUGCUUGAAAACUUGAAUCGAACUUGAAAACGCUUUGAGAUCUUGACGUUUGGAGUAAUGGAGGUUUCGAUUUUUUGGUACGGUGUGAAGGGGCUGGUGAACAUUAAUGGCGUUGGGAGGGAUGAUGAAUUUUAGUAACUUCGGCUAACGGGCCUGGGUUAGGCUCCGUUAGGGGCAAUUUUGGAAUAUUAAUUGUUAUGCGGUUUGGGCUUUUUGGUGAGCCCGUGUGUUUUAGUUUUGUAGGGCCUAAGAUAAAAGUUUUGUGUCCUUAUGAUUAAAAUUUAAGCCCUUUUCAUUAAAUAAUAGUUUAGGGUAGUUUUUCAUUAAAUAAAAGUUAAUUCAAUCCCUUUUUAUUAAAGCUCCCUUAAAUCAAACAAUGGCAGCCUGGCAGGUGUCGUGAUGUCCCAAAACUUUGUGGAGGCACAUCCAAAUUUAUGACCACGUUAGCCUCAAUCCUAUUCAUAUUUAAACCAGUGAUGGUAUGAGUCCGAGAGACAAUUUGGUAGUAUUAUCUUGUUAUCUUCUCGGAAGAAAUAAAUUGUAGAUGCUAAAAAUACUUUUUUCUAGAGAAAGAGGACCACAUUCAUUCACAAUGGUCCUCCUGUUAUUUUGUUCAAAGAUGGUUUAGGGUUACUCAAUUUUUUCUUUUCAAAAAUAAUUUCUUAAAAAAGUUGGGACUUCUAUUGUAAUUGAUAAGUUAAAUCUAGGGAACUUUAACAAAAACUCGUUGUACUGUUUACUUUAACAAAAAAUCAUAUUUUUACACUAAAAAUUCAACUUUGGUACUAUUCAUUAUACCAUUUAUUUUAUUCUUAUCAUUAAAACUCAAAGUUUUCAAGCAUUUUUCAUUAGCUUCCUUUAAAACUAUUGGUCCAAAACAACUCUACACAUGCUUCUCAAAAAGUACUUUUAUCAUUGGAAGUAGGUGAACAAUAUCAAUGAAUGAAACUUUCAUAUUGACAGUCAACCCAAUCAUUUGUUUUUUUUUUUUUUUUUGCUAAAAGCACUUUUGACACUAUAGUUUGACCAAAUACUUACUUUUUUUUUACAAGUGCUUAUUUUCACAUCAUAACAUAAGCAAUUUCAAAGGAAAAAAUAAUAACCCCAAAUUAACAAUUAAAUUAAUCACAAGCUGGUAAUCCAGUGAUAAAGGAUGAAUUAUGAGACUUCCUUAAAAUUAAAAAGUAGAGGUCUCGGGUUCGAAACCCGCUGCUGUCGUGGAAGCCAGACUUGUGGCUAGAAGGAGUGCCUUAUGUCUUCCCGACAUUCGAAAUAGAUGGAUAACUGUGACUUGCCAUCAGUUGUCUCCCUUUCAAAAUUCCGCCUCUUCAACUCGACCUUCCCCAUUCUCUCUCUUUCUAAAAUGGGUUCGAUCAGCAGUCAACUGGGCUCGCGCCCAUCUCGACCCCGAGUCAAUCGCACCGCCGGUAGUUCCAAACUCCCCUAUUUCGUUUGCGGUGGCUCCUCUGCACCUGCUACUCACGAGUAAACCUGGCAUUUUGGACCCGACCCGUUAACCCGACCCAACCCCGACCCGUUAAUAUUAGUAUUUAGGUGGAUACUUAACAGGUCGGGUCGUUAACGGGUGAACCCGUUAAAUAACGGAUCACUUUAGGUCAACCCAUUAACACCCGUUAAUUGAUGAUGUUUUAGUAAUUUUAAUAAAAUCUUGAAACAAAACAUAAACUCUAUGAAAAUAAUAAUAAUAAUAAUAAUAAUUGUUAACGUGUGUUUACUCGUUAGUUUAACGGGUCAGAUUCAGAUGACCCGUUAGCUUAACGGGUUAGGUUCAGAUGACCCGUUAACUUAACGGGUCGGAUUGAACCCAAUGCAAACCCAAUAAAUCCGACUCGUUUACAAGUCUACUCACGAGAUACCCUUUUCUUCUACUUCAUCACCAACCGUCAAUAAGCACUAAUCUAACUGCCAAGAAUAAUCUAACGGCCAAGAAUCCUGAUGUACCCUAUAAUUCAAUCCGUGCUAUACAAACCUAAAAGAGCAGUUUCCUAAUUCCUAAAGUUUCGGCAACCUCGCAGCCCAACCAUGUUUGGACUUUAUUGACCGCGUGUCGCACGCUUGCACCCACCACCAAUCACCAUCAGAUCUCUGAUGGUUGACCAGUCAACGCGCCUUCUCAUUGCGCCCAUUGACGCCUUCUCCUCCCCCACCACCAGGCCCACCACUAUUACACAUGCUCCGCCGCCGCUUUUCACCUCCUUCCGCCGCCAAUAACUAACUUAUUUCUUACCAUAGUUUUUACGAAAAUAUUCUCAAAAAGCAAAUUAAAAGGAAAAUUAAUAUCGCAAUAACAUUCAUUAAGCCAAAGUGACCAAGGGGGAUAGAGAAUUUUCUCGAGAAACAAACAGAAAAUAGAGGGAAAUGCGAUGCGAUUUCGAGCAACUUCACCCAAAUAUAAUCACAAAUACUAUACUUAUUGAAGUGGAGGACGUGAUCAGAUCCUAUUUUUUCCACGUACACAUCCAUUUGAUGAUCUAAUAGUAUAUAAUUUCCCUAAAUUUCAAAAGUUAAACCCUAACAGAUGGAGAUUCGGAUCUAAAUUCAGCACCUGGAUUGAGAUAGAUGACUACCGUGUGCGGCACUAGGCGGCAGGGUUGGCGGCAUUGGUGCCGUCGGAGGAGGCUUUGUGUCCCAUCAUCUUCUUGAACUCCUCGAAAUUCACAUUCCCGUCGCCGUCGGCAUCGACGGUCUUGAUCAUCCGAUGGCAGUCCUCGAUCGUGCAGGCCAUGUUGAGGCGGUUGAGCACCAGGUGGAGCUCGUUGGCGGAGAUGAGGCCGUUCCGAUCCUGGUCGUAGAGAUCGAAGGCGUCUUUGAGCUCGGUGACGCCGCCGUCCUUGGGGCCGGCGACCCAGAAGGCGUUGAACUCGUCGAGGCAAAUGAAGCCGUCGUUGUCGGUGUCGAGAUCGACCAUGAAGCGCUUGAGCUCGUCUUCGGAGACGGUGGAGCCGAGGGCCGUGAGGACGUUGCCGAGCUCGUUGACGGAGAUCUUCCCAUCGCCGUUGGAGUCGAAGCUUUUGAAGACCUUCCGGACCUCGUCGGUGACGGCGGGCUUGGGGUCGGUGACGGCGGGUUUGGGGUCGGUGGAGGCUGGAGCACAGUUGGUUGCCAUGGUGGUUGUGGUUUUUUGGUAAAUUGGUAUUCCCAGAGUCUGCAGAUUUGAAGAGGGAAAGGGGGAAGUCUUUGGGUA